CCUACGGGUGACUACAGUGGGGAAUAUUGCACAAUGGGGGGCACCCUGAUGCAGCGACGCCGCGUGAGUGCAGAAGUAUUUCGGUAUGUAAAGCUCUAUCAGCAGGGAAGAAAAUGACGGUCCCUGUCUCAGACGCCCCGGCUAACUACGUGCCAGCAGCCGCGGUAAUACGUAGGGGGCAAGCGUUAUCCGGAUUUACUGGGUGUAAAGGGAGCGUAGACGGCUGUGCAAGUCUGGAGUGAAAGGCGGGGGCCCAACCCCCGUACUGCUCUUGAAACUGUAAAGCUGGAGUGCAGGAGAGGUAAGCGGAAUUCCUAGUGGAGCGGUGAAAUGCGUAGAUAUUAGGAGGAACACCAGUGGCGAAGGCGGCUUACUGGACUGCAACUGACGUGGAGGCUCGAAAGCGUGGGGAGCAAACAGGAUUAGAUACCCCAGUAGUC
rnacentral:rRNA from 1 species